CUCCCUUGCUGGGUAUGGGGAAGGGGCGUCUUCUGUCCUUGUGGUCCGCUUCUAGGCUUUUUGGAGCAUCUUCCAGGGUCACUCCAGAGACCCCCCCAGACUACUGAAUCUGAAUCCGUUAGGGUGGUCCAACCUUCCUCUUCAGGUGUCUACUAGAGGCAAGGUUGGAUGUAUGCGGCUGCCCUCAGUACAGCCCCUUCCUUGUUUUUUCUUCAUUUGUGUUUACUUAAAACAUUAAUCCUUUUCUCCCUCUCCUCCAUCCCUCUCCCUCCCCUACUAUACAGUUAUUGACUUACACUAAUUCAUUCCCGAUGAUCUCCCAGAAGGAAAUAAGUGUCUGUCUGUCUCUGUCUCUGUACCAUCGUCUUCUUGGUACAGUUCGGACUAUUUUUUCUCUACACCCCAGUUAUGCAAAGUGUAGUCCCUGAACCAGCAGCCUCAGCAUCCUGAGGGAAUUUGUUAAAAACGCGAAAUCUCAAGCCCUACCCAGACUUACUGAAUCAGUGUCUGCAUUGCAACAAGAUCCCCUGGUAAUUCCUAUGCACAUCAAAAUUUGGAAGGCACAGCUCUCAACUGAUGUCCUGGGUCUCCUUCACAUCCAUCCUGGGAAGGUCUUAUUCCUCAUUCCUGAGCUCAUGUGAUUAUGGGGGUUGAGAAGCCCCACAAUCUGCUGUCUGUAAGCUGAAGACCCAGAAAGCCCAUGUUGUAGUUUAAAGCCCUGAUAACUGGAGAUGGUGUAGAUUCCAGUCCGAGUUUGGAGUCCUGCAAACCAGGAUCACCGAGGGCAGGAAAAGAUCAAAAAUUCAGUUCAAGAAGUCUAGCAGAGAGAAAGUGAAUCCUCCCUUCCUCUACCUUUUUGUUUUAUUCAGACCCGAAAUGGAUGAUGCCCACCCACAUUGCUCAUCCCACUGAAGAGCUAUGGCACUUCCAAUUCCUGAGCCUUUGUGAGGUUCUGCGUGUCAGUAAGCUUGCUUCCGGGCAUCACCUCCGAAAACACUUGGGUUUCAGUUUUCUCUGUGAGGCUUCUUAAGGAGUGGAGGAAAGUGGAUGUUUUCAAGAUAACGCAGCUAACAUUCAAAGAGGUUAAGUGAAUUGUCCAAAGUCACACAGCAAGCACUGGAGGUAAGAUUCAAACCUGAAUAGUCUAUCAUUUCAGAGUACUUUCAACACUAUGCAAUACUAUCUCUCUAGCAAUCAGCCAGAUUGAAUAAGAUCUGUAGUUCACAGAGCCACUUGCAUUUUUAAUCCUAGUUUAAUUAACUUAGGAAAUUUGUAUCUAAAGGAUGCAUCUUUUUUUUUUUUUUUUUCAAUAGAGGCAGUGUCUCACCAUGUUGCCCAGACUGGCCUCAAACUUCUGGGCUCAAACCAUCCUCCCAUCUCAGCCUUCCAAAUGCUGAGAUUACAGGCGUGAGCCACCACGUCCCACCGGGAUACAUAGGUUUUACGGUAUCCUCUGAACCUCCCUUUAAUCAAGAGAGUGGACAAAACUGUGGGUCCCUCAUUUUCAAAAUGGCCAGUAAAAGAGGAAAUAAGGAUAUGCAAUGUUUAGUUAUUUUCUGCUGCCCUCUUUAAGUUGAUUGGGGAUCUCUUUGUCACUACUUUGGGAAGAUAACUUACCUUCUUAUCCACUAUGGCUAAUUGGAGCUUUUCUCAUGUCUUUAUGGUUGCUGGGAAAUUUUCAAAUAAAAUUCACUGGGAAUGGUUUGAAAUUGCAGAAUUUUUAGCCUCCCGAUGUUUUAUUUUCCUCUAGUGAGUUGGACAUAAAUAAUAUCCUCUUUUGAGAUUUGUAUCUUUGAAAGACAUUUUUUUUUAAGUUUCUCAGUGAAACAAAGAAAAAAUUAGA
rnacentral:lncRNA from 1 species